UACGUAGGGUGCGAGCGUUAAUCGGAAUUACUGGGCGUAAAGCGUGCGCAGGCGGUUCGUUGUGUCGGUGGUGAAAUCCCAGGGCUUAACCUUGGAACUGCACUUCUAACUACCGGGCUAGAGUACGUCAGAGGGGGGUAGAAUUCCACGUGUAGCAGUGAAAUGCGUAGAGAUGUGGAGGAAUACCGAUGGCGAAGGCAGCCCCCUGGGAUGAUACUGACGCUCAUGCACGAAAGCGUGGGGAGCGAACAGG
rnacentral:rRNA from 1 species